AGGCUUGUAGCUCAAUCGGUAGAGCAGCGGACUCUUAAUCCGAAGGUUGGGGGUUCGAUUCCCCCCAGGCCUACCA
rnacentral:tRNA from 1 species